AAAAAUGUCAAAUGAAAUUUAUACAAACUGGGUGUCAGACAAUCUACAAUAAAGCAUUACAUCGACCAUGACACAGCAGAUGAACCAGCAUGAAUUUAUCCAAACGACAAACAAGUCUUGAGAUUCGUCACACACGCUAGGUAAUAACAACAUAACAAUUCACCAAGGUUCCGAUUGACUGACUAUAACGAUAGUACGAGCAAAGCUACUGCAGAAACGAGUACGACAACGGCCUAAAGAGCGAACAAGGCUUCUGCUAAAACCAUACGAAUACCAUGCCUCCCGAAAGGGCAGAUUCAGAGGGCGCCACCAAGACGAACCAAUCACCUGAACUUCGGCUUCUUCGAGGGCGGCCCUCCCUUGGAGCUACUGGGAGGCGGGCGAGACUUGUUGCCGCUGCUGCUGCCACCACGCUGUGGCAGCGGAGCAUGCUUGCUGCUGCUAGGACCACGCUGCGGUGGUGCACCGGACUUGCUGAAG
rnacentral:lncRNA from 1 species